rnacentral:rRNA from 1 species
UACAGAGGGUGCGAGCGUUAAUCGGAAUUACUGGGCGUAAAGCGUGCGUAGACGGUUAUUUAAGUCGGGUGUGAAAUCCCCGGGCUCAACCUGGGAACUGCAUUUGUGACUGCAUCGCUGGAGUGCGGCAGAGGGGGAUGGAAUUCCGCGUGUAGCAGUGAAAUGCGUAGAUAUGCGGAGGAACACCGAUGGCGAAGGCAAUCCCCUGGGCCUGCACUGACGCUCAUGCACGAAAGCGUGGGGAGCAAACAGG